CUUGUCCGCAGGAGACGUAGGUCUGAUCUGGAGGGUGAUGAUUUGGCUGAAUCAUCUGCUGCAAGGAGGCGCCACUCCCGCAUUUUAAGCCGUUGGGCUGCUCGGCAGGCACAGGAGAUGAUAACCACUAUUGAGAGGAGGAAUCGUGAGUCAGAAUUGAUGGCACUUGCCGGUUUGCACACAGUUUCCAUGCUUGAUUCCUCAUUUUUGAGGGAGUCGCAGUCACCCACGUCAAGGAGGCAAGGGGCAGUUGAACGGCCAAGUACUCAGGCAUCUGCAAUUCUACAAAUGUGGCGGG
rnacentral:misc_RNA from 1 species